rnacentral:misc_RNA from 1 species
UGUUGAUUGUUCUUGAUUCUUUGUCAAUAAAUACAGGAGGCUUCCCAUUGGAGUGCCUUCAUGUUGGUACCCCAAUGUGCUGCCCAUGUUUUUGCAGUUGAUCAAGGUCUGGAGCCAUUUUUGUACAGGAAUGGGAGGAUUUGGAAAGGUGUGUAUCAACUCUUUAUCCAAGUUCUGUGAAGAUUUUGUCCCAAGUUGGCGGAUAAGAUUGGAUUGGGAAAAUUUUGUAAGAGAAUGGGGUGCUAAUGGCAGUAAUGGUGAUCAUUUGUUUAACAGCUUGUUUUAACAAGCUACGAUUUAUCUCUGUAAUUGAUCUUUGCUUUCUUUUCUUUUAUUUUUUUUUUAAAUUGUAUUUGUCAAGGAUUUUAUCAUCACAAUGAUUAUCCUGCACUAUGAGAUUGGUUUGGUAAAA